AGAGUUUGAUCCUGGCUCAGAACGAACGCUGGCGGCGUGCUUAACACAUGCAAGUCGAACGCGAAAGGGACUUCGGUCCUGAGUAAAGUGGCGCACGGGUGAGUAACGCGUGGAUAAUCUGCCCAAUGGACUGGGAUAACAUCUCGAAAGGGGUGCUAAUACCGGAUAAGACCACGGGAUCUUAGGAUUCUGCGGUAAAAGGUGGGGACCUUCGGGCCUACCGGCAUUGGAUGAGUCCGCGUACCAUUAGCUAGUUGGUAGGGUAAUGGCCUACCAAGGCUACGAUGGUUAGCUGGUCUGAGAGGAUGAUCAGCCACACUGGAACUGAGACACGGUCCAGACUCCUACGGGAGGCAGCAGUGGGGAAUUUUGCGCAAUGGGGGAAACCCUGACGCAGCAACGCCGCGUGAGUGAUGAAGGCCUUCGGGUCGUAAAGCUCUGUCAGAGGGGAAGAAGUGCAGUGGUGCUAAUAUCGCCAUUGUUUGACGGUACCCUCAAAGGAAGCACCGGCUAACUCCGUGCCAGCAGCCGCGGUAAUACGGAGGGUGCAAGCGUUGUUCGGAAUUAUUGGGCGUAAAGCGCGUGUAGGCGGUUUGAUAAGUCUGAUGUGAAAGCCCCGGGCUCAACCUGGGAAGUGCAUUGGAAACUGUCAGACUUGAAUACGGGAGAGGGUAGUGGAAUUCCUAGUGUAGGAGUGAAAUCCGUAGAUAUUAGGAGGAACACCGGUGGCGAAGGCGGCUACCUGGACCGAUAUUGACGCUGAGACGCGAAAGCGUGGGGAGCAAACAGGAUUAGAUACC
rnacentral:rRNA from 1 species